rnacentral:rRNA from 1 species
UGGGGAAUAUUGCACAAUGGGGGAAACCCUGAUGCAGCGACGCCGCGUGAAGGAAGAAGUAUCUCGGUAUGUAAACUUCUAUCAGCAGGGAAGAAAAUGACGGUACCUGACUAAGAAGCCCCGGCUAACUACGUGCCAGCAGCCGCGGUAAUACGUAGGGGGCAAGCGUUAUCCGGAUUUACUGGGUGUAAAGGGAGCGUAGACGGUGUGGCAAGUCUGAUGUGAAAGGCAUGGGCUCAACCUGUGGACUGCAUUGGAAACUGUCAUACUUGAGUGCCGGAGAGGUAAGCGGAAUUCCUAGUGUAGCGGUGAAAUGCGUAGAUAUUAGGAGGAACACCAGUGGCGAAGGCGGCCGCCUGGCCUGUAACUGACGCUCAGGCACGAAAGCGUGGGGAGCAAAUAGGAUUAGAUACC